rnacentral:rRNA from 1 species
UGGGGAAUAUUGGGCAAUGGAGGAAACUCUGACCCAGCAACGCCGCGUGAACGAUGAAGGUCUUCGGAUUGUAAAGUUCUUUUCUAAGGGAAGAAGAAAGUGACGGUACCUUAGGAAUAAGCCUCGGCUAACUACGUGCCAGCAGCCGCGGUAAUACGUAGGAGGCAAGCGUUAUCCGGAAUGACUGGGCGUAAAGGGUGCGUAGGUGGUUUGGCAAGUUAGUAGCGUAAGCCCGGGGCUUAACCUCGGGACUACUACUAAAACUGUUGGACUUGAGUGCAGGAGGGGCAACUGGAAUUCCUAGUGUAGCGGUGGAAUGCGUAGAUAUUAGGAGGAACACCAGUGGCGAAGGCGAGUUGCUGGACUGUAACUGACACUGAGGCACGAAAGCGUGGGGAGC